CCCUUCAUCUAGAACAUUACUGUCUUUUAAAAGAACUGAGAAAGGCAAUUUAUUACUUCAAGAGAAUAUACCAACAGAGGCUGAGGAAACAAGCAGGCCAGCCAUGUCCCCUGUCCUAAGCAGAGGGGAUCUAAUGGACUUCACAAGGGCUGUAAAGGCCUGAUACAGAGAUAAAAUGCUGUAUGUGUGUGUGUGUGUCUGUGUGUGUGUCUGUCUGUCUAUUUUCUGGGAAGAAGAUUUGAUCAGGUAUUCAAAAGGAUGUAGGAAUAAAAGAAAACAUUAGAGAAUAACCAGAGGAGGGGCAUGUGGCAAGUUAGAACUGCUAAAAUAGUGAAGUACUUUUACUAAAUUUUCUACAUUAAUCACAAAUUUUAUAAGAAACUUUGUCAUGCCUUUGAAUUUUCAUGUCAUUGAACUUUAAUCUGCAAAGGGAUUUAGGUGUCUUUUUUGAAAAAAGAUUUUAUUUUUUAGAGCAAUUUUAGGUUCACAGCAAUAUUGAACAGAGAACGUUGUAUAGAGGUUGAAUAUUGAAUAAAGAAUAUUGAAUACUGUA